AGGUUGUCAUAUGUGAAUUGCGUUCAUGACGUCCUGUUUGAAUUAAAGAUCACAUGUUUGGUAGUCCUAUUUUGGAUAUCAAGUGGCAUGCAACUUUAAAAUCCACUAUACCAAAAAUGAUCGCGGCUGAUAAUUAAGUGGUUAGGAUUUGCGAUCCAAAGACGGAUACUUGUGUUACAAGUGUAGUUUCUAGAUCCACUGCACAAUUGAUUGGUCUGGGUUGGAAGUGAAACUGGCAGUCUUGCUUCCCUCCAAAGAAAAAAAUAAAGUGGACAAUGCACUUAAGAAGGCAAGAACUAUGAAAACUAGGUGCACUGAGGAGUACUCAGACAAGCCCCAAAGACGAUGAAGCUAAUGCUAGGGCAUAUGACAGAGAACGAGUACUUGAUUUGGGAUGGAUGCUGAAAGCUGCAUAGUAAAGUGGAGGUCUGUAAAUCAUCAGUAGAUACAAAUUUUGCAGGGUGAUGGAUGCAUGUUAGUUUUAAGGAUGGAGAAUCAAGACAAUAAUACCUUAGAGGUAUUUUAAUUCAGAAGUCUUAUUACUAAUGUAGGGAAUUGCCAAGAAUGGAGUUAAAACUUAAUAUCAUAAUACCAACAGUGUUGGAUUUGAUAUCAGUUAUUCAAAUUUGUUUAUUUUAUUUUACAUAUUUCUGCCUGAAACAAUGCUAAGUAACAAUUUGGAUAUUUAUUUCCAUGUAUGACCUAAGAUGCUCGUAAAUUGUAUAGGUCCAGUUUUACUCAUUUUAUUUUCCAUAUCAUUUCAUACUAUGGACAGGUCUGUACAACUGGGCUGCACGAUUCAAAUUAUGGCUUUUUUGGAUUACUUAUUCUACUUAUCUACUUUUAUUUGCAGGGAGAUGGGAUGACUAGCAUUGAACCCUCAGCUGGAAAUAUCUGACGUUUGUGUAAUUAGAAACAGUGGAUUAAUGCUCAUGGCUCUAGAGUCAACUCAAAUUCUGUCCUAUUUUAUUCCUUAGGUCCAGUUCCUAAGUGGUACUCUAAUUUGGAGAACUUGACAGUAUGGUUAAAUUCUGUGUGUGUACGCACACAUGCAUACAUAUAUAUUUAGUUAAUGUUUCUCUAUAGUAGUUGCAUAUUUUUCCUAGGUAAUGGUACUUGCAUGCCUUUAUUAGAUAUAAAGUAUUAAAUCAAAUAUUGGAUGUGCGUUAGAGAAAGUUAUAUCAUGUACAAAGUGCUGCUAGUUUACUUGUAAAUUCUAUAUUUUCUAAUUCUUUUACAGGAAGAGCUUGAGGAAGGGGCACAAACCACCAUUUAUGAUGAUUUCGAAUUUGUAACAAAAGAGGACAUUGAACACUAAAAUUUGACAAAUCUGAUUGGCACCAACCUUUUAAGAGGUUAUAUUCAUGGAUACUUUAUAGAUUAUCGUCUCUACCUUGAGGAAAAAUCUAUGGCCUAUCCAUUUGCAUAUGAAGCUUAUAGGAAGAUCAAGAAACGCAUACAAGAAAAGGUUGAGGCUGAGCGUACUAAUCGUAUAAUGGUGUAGGAGGGAGAUCAGCUGACGUUGGGUCAAUUGGCCUCUUGACGUGGAGAUCCCUAGCUCUUCGAGGACACCUAUGAUGAGGCAUCGACUACUUAGGAGGACACAUCUUGAAUAAGGGCACAAUUACUGCACUUGUAAGAGGACUUACAGGAGGAAGCCCAUGCCUAAGGGGGGAGGAUGUUAGAUCCCUCCUUUAGUUACAUUAUAGUUAUAUUAUUUGAGUGAGAUGGUGUAUUAUGUCUUGAUUCAUAGACUAUUUCAUGGUUAUUGUUAUUAACCCUUUUAUAUCAUGGUUUAGACAUAAUGAGGAUAGGUCGUUACUUCUUAGUACUUUGCUCCUUACUUAUGUUGUUUAUAUGAUCUCAUGGUUUUACAUUAUCAAUGAUGGAUAAUAUUUGACACGCAUAGUUCGUGUGACAUGUGAGUUUUUUGAGAUAUAGUUGUAUGUAUUUAUACAUAUAUACAUAUACAUAUACACACACACGCACAUAUACAUAUACAUAUAUGUAUGUAUGUAUUUCAUGAUGAGCUGGCACUUUUUCUUGAGUAAGCAGGUAGAUGCCAAUGGGGAUGC